rnacentral:rRNA from 1 species
UACGAAGGGGGCUAGCGUUGCUCGGAAUCACUGGGCGUAAAGCGCACGUAGGCGGCUUCUUAAGUCAGGGGUGAAAUCCUGGAGCUCAACUCCAGAACUGCCUUUGAUACUGAGGAGCUUGAGUCCGGGAGAGGUGAGUGGAACUGCGAGUGCAGAGGUGAAAUUCGUAGAUAUUCGCAAGAACACCAGUGGCGAAGGCGGCUCACUGGCCCGGUACUGACGCUGAGGCACGAAGGUCAGGGGAGCAAACGGG